UACGUAGGGCGCAAGCGUUGUCCGGAAUUAUUGGGCGUAAAGAGCUCGUAGGCGGCCUGUUACGUCUGCUGUGAAAUCCCGGGGCUUAACCCCGGGCGUGCAGUGGAUACGGGCAGGCUGGAGGCAGGCAGGGGAGAACGGAAUUCCCGGUGUAGCGGUGAAAUGCGCAGAUAUCGGGAGGAACACCGGUGACGAAGGCGGUUCUCUGGGCCUGUACUGACGCUGAGGAGCGAAAGCGUGGGGAGCGAACAGG
rnacentral:rRNA from 1 species